UGAGAUGGCAGUUGUGGUGUAAGGAUGUUGAAAGAGAUUUGCAUGUUUGAAAGUAUUCCUGCUUUAAUCAUUGAAAGCAUCUGGCAUAUUGGUCUCAUUACUGGGUCAACUGCUUUAAGUUUCUUCAAGAAGCCCUGAUGCAAGUAAAAGCACUUUAAUCCAAGCCCAGCAGUAUCUGGUUGACCAUCUGAAGCUGUCUGGCAAUUCCAGAGUCCUAAUGUUGGCUUUAUUCCAGAUGUUACCCCACUCUACACGUCUUUGGUAAAGCCCUGGUCAGUCAAACCAGAGGACACAAACCGCAGGUGAGCUGGGAUUUGGAGUUGGAUGUGCUGCUGUCGUGUUCCUUGAUUUACCCCCCCCAAUAGUCCUUGUCACUGU